UAUUCCAACUUGAACUCCCGUAUCCAAAUUUAUCCAACAUUCAGUUUAUUAAUACAGUGUAGGAAAGGAACACAAGUAUUCAACCUGCCAUGAAACUAGAGACAAUCUUCACAGCAAGUUAUUAACUUAUUCAUUUAUUUUUUACUACCCUCUUUUACAUUUAUUUACCGUGCCAGCUCAGCUGCCAGCUAACGGGGGUACAGAUAGAGUAGUGUGAUAAUUAACAGCGGGCGUUAGCGUCAACGCCAAUUCCGAGCUGCUGGCAGUACUGGGUAUAGUAGCUGACCCGAGCGUUAACGGCAGGAGUGUUGCCGCCGUUACACUCCAUGCUGUUAAUCUUACGGAUGGUGGCUCCGAACCCCUGAGGAAGGACGGCACGAACAUUUGUCAUCCAAAACCACAACGCCGUCCUCCACGCAAGCACCGGGUCUCUAGCCACGAUGUCUGGGUUCGCCACCCCGUCAAAUCCGUUGGCUUUCCCGGCUUCUGCGUAGUUGUAGUUCCACGUCAGCUGAAGUGGGCCCCGGCCGUAGUAUCUUUUCCCCUGAGCACAUGGGUACCGGCUCCGGUCGCAAUAUUCUGCCUUGUUAAUUUCUUCAAUGUAGCACAUACCUGCCGACAAGUGAAAAAAAAAGUCAACGAAGAGUAUAAGAAAGUCAAGUAAUAUUUGUUUAUUAAAAAAUCUUCAUCCAAAAAUUAAUAAUUGUCGAAUGAGAAAAUUCAUUUAACAAUUACUAGGAAUAUAAUAAUGUUCCUAAAUGAACAAAAUUUUAUUAGCUAAAUCACAUAAGCCAAUUUCAGUAUUUAUCCACAGUUAAUUAAUUAAUUAAUUAAACGGAUUAUUUUGUUGUAAAUUAGAAAUAAGAUUUUCUAAAUUAUGAAGAAUUGCAUGAUAAAAAUGUGGUUUAAAUUGUUAAGUGAAUAUUUAAUUGAAAUGGCAGUUGAGGCCAUAUUAUAAAACCGUUACAGAAAAUUUGAGAUGGAUAUGGUCUUAGAGUAUAGUAAGUGUAGCUUACUUCCGGUUUCGUGGGUGACAUGGGCGAAGAAGGCCGCGAUCUCGCGCUUGGAGCCGGCAUCGGAGCCCCGGUUGCCGAAGCUAGGGUAGGACCUAGCAGCCUGGAUAAAGGCCUCGCGGGUGUAGAAUGACUUCCCGGCACAGUUGUUGCCGGCGCGGUUGCGGAUGCCGUUGAAGAAAGCUGGGGUGACUAUGUUAGCAACCUGAGCUUCCACGACGGUGGUGGUGAUGGCCAAAGAGGCCACGAGUGUGGCUAUGGCUGCUAUGAGUAGCUGAAGAAGUUUUGCCAUGGUUGAGUGGACGAUUUUGGUUGUGGAAUGUGGUGUGUUGGGUUUGUGGUGAUGUUGAGAUGGAGCUAUUUAUAGGGAAAAAUGGAUGAGUGGGUUGUUGGGUUUGGAAGACCGAGUAAACCGAAAUAGUACCGAGUUGCCACGAAAUGGGUCUUGUAUGUAGAAUUCUAGCUAAGCUAAGUUCUUCAACCUUGUCUGCCGUGCUGAUGGGUUCACUUUGAAAAUGAUGUCUUUCUUUUGGACUUUCAUUCGUAAGCUACCAAAAUUUCCAUUGAAAAUGGAUAGCCAUCACCACUAUUAGGGAUUGCCAUUAGGAAAGAAAUGAUGAUGAAGAUUUGGGUGAAAGAUAUAAGAAAAUAUUAUAACCAUAAAAAAAUAAAGAAUAGGAAUAUAAUUAAUCGUGUGUUCUGUGUUUGAAUUUUCGUUCAUAAUUUGAGUAUGUUUUCAACAAACGAUAAGAUAUUUCUAAAUUAUAGAUGAAAUGGAAAUUUAGGGACUCCCAAAGCUGGUCAUAGCUGUGCGUACUGUUGUGAGUGUUGACUGACUGGGAGGAUAAUGUUAUCAAGUAUGGGGAGGAGAUUUAGGCGUGGAUUCGAAGCUGCAGUCUGCAGGACAAAGAAAAAGAAAUUUGAGGAGAAGAAGGAAGUGUUGACAUGCAUGCAUGUAUUACGUAUAGAGUUUGUUGAUGAAACUUUGUCGCCAUCUUUAGAUCGCAGGAAGAAGGUGGAUUAAUAAAGCGAUCACCUUGCACCGCACAAAACAAUAAAGCGAUGAAACUCACCGCCUCCGGAAUUACAGGCACAGAGACACGAACUUUACGGGAACAUAAACGUACGGUUUCGAAACUGGGAAGGCAAAAUGAAUUUAUACAUAACUCCACAAUACGACUCGCAUAUUUUUGACUCAAUUCAUCGAUGAAGAUGAUGCCCGUUACUUUCAGCAACAGUCCCCACUCCCAAACUUCGACUAGGCUCUGGUGAAGCUCCACCAGGCCAUCGGCGAGGCCGUCGCGAAGCUUCGACGAAUUGUUCUAACUAUUUAUGACAACCAAUAACUAAUUAAUUAUAUAUGAAAAUAACUAGUCAUAACAAUUUAACAAUACUUAGUUAUAUAACUAGUUACAAGAAGAAAUGAUAGACUCAAAUAUAAUGCAAAAUGAAGCUUCGUAGAGAGUUCAUAGCCUGAGAAACCGGCAACCCUCAACUCCACGAUCCUUUAAAGCAGCUAGCAUGGUUAAAUAGAAAGGCAUUCAAUACUAAGUUCAGUGACCAAACAUAAAUAGUUUCAUUUCAUUAGUUUUGCCGGCACCAAUGAUCUUCAGCUCCUAGCACCCAGGGUUCGAACUGAAGCUUCUCUGCAUCCUUCAGUUCAAACUCACAGAUUCUCAUUUGAUCAUCUCAAUCUCUGCAUUCGAUCAACAUGUCAUCUACCACUUACAUAUGAAUAUCGAGUCGAAUGAGUGAUAUCGUUUAAUAAGGCAGAUGAGAAAGCUUUAGAAUCUAGUAAUCCAUUCCUUAUUCAAACACGCGACAACUCAAGUCAUUGGGAUAUCUAACAAAGUCAUAACAUAACAGCUUAUGGUACAUAUGAGAUAUUAACCAUGAAACAUUGAAACUGUACAUAUCUAACAAAGUCAUAACAUAACAGCUAAAAGUACUAACUUGUUAAAACCAUUACGAAAAUUUACGCGAUCGGUCUCCAGGACGACGCACAACCGGUUCAACCAACCUCCAUCCGCUUUUUGCAAAACGAUUACACUGAUGUCAAGCUAGAAUGAAGGUCAGUAAGUUGAGAGUUCCUUGAGAAUCUAAGCCAAAGUUUCUUCUCAGCAUAUAGAAGACAAGGCUGCAUAACAAGGCCAAUAGCAAUGGCUGCAAAGCUAACGGCCAUGACCUUAAUCGGAGCAAUAACCAAGACCACCACCAACAGCAAGCUCGGAAUAAUGCACAUAACAACAGCUCCAACCGUCCCCAAGGGAACCUUGUAAGGCCUCGUCGCAUCAGGGUAAUCCACCCUAAGCUUAACGAAUGCGAUGAACUCCAUGAUCAUACCGAAACAGUAGAGGAAGUUCUCCGCUGCAACGAUCUCCUGAAAACUCAUCCACGAGAGCAACACCACCCCGGAGGCCGAGAACAGGAUCCCUAUCACAGGGGUUCCAUACCGAGACCUCUUGCUAAAGAAUCGAGGUAGCAUGCCUCGCUCCGCCAUUCCCAGGAGUUGGAACGAGUCGCUGCUCAUUUCAGCAAUGAACAUCCCCAUGUUUGAUACAGCUGAAGCUGCUUGUACCCAGUACAUCAGCCAAGCGCCUCCGAUGAUGGUGGCAAUCUCCGAGAAGUAACCGUCUCUCCAUUGGUUCCGGUCAAGUGGGAUUGCUCCAGUUCCGAUUAAUAGGGGGAGAAAGUAGCUGAAAACAGUUAAGAUCAGUGCGUAGAAGAGUGACUUGGGUAGGGUUUUACCAGGGUUUUCAACUUCUCCUGCUAGUGUACUGAUAGAAUCCCAAUAGUUGAGAUUCCAGAACAGUGUGUUUAAGUAAAGUGUCCAGUUCACAUUGCUCAUAUCAAUGGCAACCCAUCUCGAAGCCUCUAGUUUCGGAAUCGCUAUGAUUCCCAUCAGAAGAAACGGAAUGAGAGACAUCACUCCCAACAGUAUAGCAGCCCAUCCAACAAUGGUUAAUCCUCUAUAGUUCAACAGAGUAAGCAAGAAAGUCAGAACCAGAACUGCGACCAUUCGAACGAAGCCAUCAUCGAGAGCUGGAACGGCUGGUUUCAGGUAGUCUAGAAACAGAACAGGGUAUAGUGCAUUGUCAAUGACACCACUCAGCCAUUUCAUCCAACCUUGUUGGAACCCCCAGAACGGGCCGAGAGCCGAGGAAACCCAGACGACAUAGCCACCAUUUUCGGGGAACAUCGUGCUGAGUUCUGCUGUGAUUAGAGCCUCGGGAAUGCUCCACACGAACGGGAAGAUCACGAACCCAAGAAGUGCUAGAAGUGGCCCGGCUGCUCGAACGCUGUCUUCGACACCGAAUGGUCCUCCCGAUACUUCAUAGAAGAUCAGAAAGACGAGCGGAAGGAUUGAGACUUUGCGAUAUUUAUCGUGCUUUGGCGAAGAUGGCGGUUCACCAAUUGCUGCAUACUCAGUAUGGUUGGAAUCCAUGAAAAAAGCCAACACCUUUUGCUUCUGCAUUGAAGUAUAAAAGAUUUGAGUUAUGUUUAAGAGCUGUAAUCCAACAUAGAAUACCGAAAUUCAAGACUAAACAUUGAAAAUAGCAAUAUACGUGAUGCUUAGAGAUUAUGGCAGUCUGAUAAGUUGAGUAGAGUAAUAGCUUGAACAUUAAUCAACCAAAGAAGAAAUCAUUGAGGAACGAUUCAAAAGCUGGAACAGUUUAUCAUUCUAGACCUUCACAAAGAAAUCUGGGUUUUUCCUAACAUCACAUACAGGUGGAGCAAUCCACACCAACCAACUUCACAAACCAAUCUAAACACAUCAUCAUCUAGGCUUCAAUCUUAGAAACACGGGAAAAUGGCUGCAAAUGAAAAGAUGACGAAAACUCACCUCUUCAAGAAACAUGCAAAUUUACAGAAAGAGCGAAGGCACAACAGGGGAACCCAACUGAUUUAGAUUACGAAAUGGCACUGAGUGAGUGGGAAAUGAAGAAUAGAGACCAAAAGCCAAAAAUCGCCAACUAACCAUGUGAAAACGGGUGGCGAGACAGCAUUGCGAAUGCGUCAGCUUCCCAGUGACUGGACACAAGUACAACCACGCGUCCCAGAAAAACCUUCGUUAGUUUAGCGGUACCGCUUCCCUUCCAACUGCAAAUACACCAUAGUAAAAUUUCAGGAAGGUUUCUUCUUUUUCUUCCUUCUGUUUGAGAAUAAAAUAUAAUAGACUAUGCAAAGUGAAGGGAUAAAAAGGAGAGAAUUGUUUUUACGUUUUACAGUUUACGGCUAUUACCAAAUGCAGCGGAGUUCCAUGGGUUGGUAUCCCGCCACCUUUUAAGCUGAGAAUGCUUACUAAAACGGCUUAGUCUGCUGUACCAGUAACUCAACGGCUACCAGUAAUCCCCACAAGAACAACCCCCACCAUUGAAACGGUAGAAAACUUUCGGAUCUCUAAUCAUUAUCUCUCUGUUAGAAGCUAGAGAGAUCUUCUUCGCUACCUGAUGGCAAUCUUGGCAGACUCUAAGGUUCUUUCUGAUGAUAACAGGCUUCCCAACAGCUGUUGAUAUCAAGCCAAAGCCGAUAGCAAGUUUGACACUGUGAAGCUUCGGUGAAUUGGCUCCCUUCUUUAUCAAGUCCGCUGGUAUGAACUUAGAACACGAAUAGGCAUGGAUGCUUUCCUCCCCUGUUUUCUUUAACAUCACAUCUAGGACCUCAAUGAUCAUGUUUGUCUGUGGGUUGGUCUUGCCAUUGUUAAUGAACCUCUGGCUCUUACGUUCUUCAGUCUCUACUUUGCAACAUCCAUUUGUUUUCUUUAGCCCUUUCUCCUUCAUCAGAGAUUUAAUCCUGUUCACAUCGUCUGACCUCCCGGCUUCAACGUACAUCUUUGAAAGCAAGAUAUAGCAACCGGUGUUGUCAUGUUCAAGAGACAAGAUUUCCUUGGCAGCUAGUUCAGCUGACUCCAGGUCAUUGUUGUUCCUGCUUGCAGCUAGUAAUGAACCCCAGAUUCUUGCUGCAGUUUGUGCCACCAAUGGGAUCCCUUUGAUGAACUCCUUCGCUGCAUUGAGAUCUCCGGAACUUCCGAGAAAAUCUACCACACAGCCAUAAUGCUCAACCCCUGGAUCAAUAUUGUAGUCGGGUUUCAUUGCAUUGAAGAAUUCCCAACCCUUGUUCACCAGGCCAGAAAUGCUGCAAGCAUACAACAGGGAAACGAAAGUUCCAUGAUCCGGUUCAAUACCGCUGUCCUUCAUGGAUGAGAACAAGUUGAUAGCAGUUUCCCCAUAUCCAUGCAUAGCAUAAGCCAAUAUCAUAGUGUUCCACGAAGCCGAGUUCUUACCCGACAUUCCAUCAAAAAUCGUCCUUGCGGUCUGGAGGUCCCCGCAUUUUGCAUAAGCAUGAAUAAGAGCAUUGUAAAGUACGGUAUUUAAACCGAGUUUCACAACGUGACCGUGGAUCUGCUUGCACUCGCUUAACGAAUCUAGUUCAGCAUAGGCAGGAAGAACGCUAGCAACUGCGAUGGCGUCUGGUUUAAGGUUCUUCAACCACCACAAGUCGUGAAACAGUUCAAGAGCUUCUUCAUGCUUGUCAUUCUGUACAUAAACAGCAAUCAUGGUGUUCCAUGACACCAAGUUCUUUUUAUUAAUUUUCCCAAAAAGCUUCUCUGCCGAUCUCACUGUUCCACAUUUUCCAUAAGCAUCAACCAGAGCAGUUUCCAGAACUAUUUGAGGCAGAAGAAGCUUUCUAAUUGCAUAGCCAUGGAUGGAUUUAAUCUCCUUUAGACCUCCCAAUUGCGAACAAGAAGGGAGCACAUUUAUCAUGGAAACAGAAUCUGGAACCAAUGUGUGAUCCUCUUGCAUUACUUUCAAGCAAGCCAACGACUGCAAGUACUUCUUACUUGUAGCAUAAGCACUCAUCAGAGCAUUCCAAACAACAGCAUUUUUCAAUAGGAUCACACUGAACACCCUCUCCGCAUACCCAACUUCACCACAUUUACCAUACAUAUCCACAAGAGAUGUCCCAACCAUAACAUCCAAAUAAAUCCCUUUUCUUAUCACUUGACAAUGAACUUCCUUCCCAGACUUCAAACAGCUCACUACAGAACAAGCCCCAAGAGCACUAAUGAAACUAACCCGAUCCGGUCCGACCCUCGACCGAACCAUCUCCCUGAACCAAACCAACGACCUCAACCCAUCUCCAACCACCAAACACCCACCAACCACAGUGUUCCAAGAAACCAAGUCUCUCACGGGCAUUCCAUCAAACACUUUCUCCGCUGACUCAACCAACCCAAACGAGAAAUACAUCUCCACAAGAAAGUUACACACGUACACGUCCAUAUCCAACCCGAGCUUAAUCACCUUGCCGUGAACCCUCUCCCCUUCACCCAAAUCCGACAACUCCCCACACGCUUUGAUCACGAAGGGGAAAGUGAAGUGAUCGAUCCUAACCCUGUCUCGCUCCAUCCUCCGGUGAAAAUAUACGGCUUCAGAGAACAACCCGUUGCGUGUGAACCCUCUGAUCAUGACGUUCCAUAUGAAGGUGUCUGAAUGGUUCAUUUUGUCGAACAGCUUGAGCGCGGUGUCCAUCGAACCCGAGUCUACCACUGCUGUAAGGGAACGAGUGAGUCCCAGACUGUUGGGUUUGCUCCAUGAUGAUUUUGCAGAGCGUGGGGGGAUUUGAGCUUGCUUUAUUGCUUUGGAUUGUUUUGUGGGAUUCUCGAUUGGCUUGAAUGAGUUGUUGCAGCAGCAGCUGCGAAGAAUUGCCGCCAUUUUCCUUUUUCAAGCCCUGCCCUAAUUCAUUUUAUUUGGAUAAUGUAAUGCAGAUCGGGGUCGGGUUUGAUACAUUUCGGGUCGGGUUGCGAGUUGCCUGGUUCGAAGCCCACUGGUCUUUUCUAGGCCUACCCAUGAUAUUCUGUUUGAUUAUUUUUUUAUCCCACUGAAAUUUUAAAAAACCAUUUCGUUAAAUAUUUGUGUUAUCUUGUGUCGUAUGUAAUUUCGAGAUUAAAAAAUCAAAGCUCAUUACUGUACAAAAUCUUCAUGUUUGGUCAUAUAUCUAAAGUUUAUUAAUGAUUACAUAAUUAUGAGUGAUUUAAAGUUUAACUCAUGAUAUUCUAUCGGCUUGAUUAUAACUCAUAUUAUCAUGUAUUUGAUCAAAUAUCGACAUCAUGGCCUAGACCGAUGUCAAAAGCUUACCGACAUAGCUUGGCCAAUGUCAAAUCACGAAAUGCGACAAAAUAUGAUGUAAUUAUUUAUUUAGAUUCACUAUAACUUUAUUCCCAUGCAUGUCUAUCGUUGUUUAAUUCAUGUAGGUUACAUUUUUAAAGGAAUAAUAGGACUUUGACUCCUCCUAUUUGACCAAGUUAACAAAUUAAUUCUUGUACUAUAAAAUGCUUAAUUUACCUGUCCUACUUCACUAAGUUAACAACUAAACCCUUUAGUUACUCUUUUCAUCAAUUUAGCUUUAACUUGCAGUGUAUCAGCACUGUCAUGCGUGGGUUUUGAUAAGAUUUGAUCCAAUAACUCCAAUGUUAAAUUUGAAUGUGAGAAGAUUCUGACAUAUCAUUCGAAAUAUCAUUACAUUUUAAUACUCAAGUUAUGAAAGGGGUUCUGAUGAAACUAAAGGCUUUUGAUGAUGUAACGAGUUUAUCAAAUUCAACAAUUAUUAAACCAUACAUAUUUUUAAAUAAGAAAAACAACAAGUUGAAAACAAAAAGGGAAGAACCCUAGAUGCCUAGCUGCCGCUUUAUUCAAGCACCGUUGCCGCUUUUUGGAGAGUAUAAUAUCGAUUUCGUUGCCGCCGCUAAUCCAAUCGAGACCAUGUCUCUCCCACAUUCCCGUUUCGAUCUUCCCAACGCAACAGGCCUGCGCGGAGCUCCGUCGUUAGGAGCUACGCCGGCUCUCGCGACCGACACGAAGAACGUCGUUACCUCCCCAGCGGCCACCGCAACGCCUCCAACCACCAUCGCCGGAUUCCCCACCGCGAGCCCGAUCUGGCUCCUCUAUCUCGACGGCGCACGGAACCCCGACUCCAAGUUCUACGACCACACCCACGUGUGGCACGACGAACAGGGAUCUCCCGAAUCCACCGCGAGCCCUCGCGCUACUACCACACCUCCAACACUCGCCCUGGGUUUCCAACCACCACCGCCAGUCACCGGGAGGACCAACACCUCCUCUCCAACGCCUCCCACUGCUGAUUCGGGGAGCACAUCUCGGAGGAGACCUACAACCAUCAAAUCGGCCCGGAAAUUAGGGUCUAAAACUCUCAACUAAGAAGGAAGGAGAGAUAGCCAUGAGACUAGUCUUAUGGUGUUUCCAAUAAGGACUUUUACGCGUCCAUUCCUAUUGUUUUGCUUCUUUUAGUCAUGUGUUUGCGUACUUUUGCGUAUUGUUCUUUGGGGACUCUGUUACUUUACCGUUGUCCGUUAGCUGGUGAGCAAGGACCGAGGUUAACGCUUAUUGGAGGAGACUCGCAGGCCAUAUAGCUCCAUUUGUGGAGUCUGUACCUCCGAUGGGCACUAUGUACGCUCCUUUGAACGUUUAGAGAAAUAACAGUUCGAGUACCAUCCCUUGAAAAAAAUAAAAAUAAAACAACGAAACGAAACAUUAUUCAUUUUUUAUUAGUUAUUCAUGUAAUCCUCAUCACUUUAUUUAAUUCAUACGAUACGAGAGUACUUAAUAAUUUAACAGCUGACACUAGGCUCAACGUUGACUCCCAACUGGUGGCAGUAAGCGGUAUAGUAGCCGACCCGAGCCCUGACGGCGGGGACGUUGCCGCCGUUGUAUUCCAUACCGUUAAUCCUACGGACGGGGGGCGCGAUAACCUGNNNNNNNNNNNNNNNNNNNNNNNNNNNNNNNNNNNNNNNNNNNNNNNNNNNNNNNNNNNNGGCGGAAGGGGGAAAGGGCGCCGCCCCGCCCCCAGCCGGCGAGAACGUUCCCGCCGUUGCAUUCCAUACCGUUAAUUCUACGGAUGGUGGCUCCGAAUCCCUGAGAGAGCACCGGACGGACUUGCGUCAUCCAAAACCAUAACGCCGUCUUCCACGCAAGUAUCGGAUCUCUCGCAACCAUAUCUGGGUCUCCGAUGCCGUCAAAUCCGUUGGCCCUCCCGGCUUCCGCGUAGUUGUAGUUCCACGUCAGCUGAAGUGGUCCCCGACCGUAGUAUCUCUUCCCCUUAGCACACGGGUACCGACCAGGGUCGCAGUAUAUUCCCCUGUGAAUUUCUUCAAUAUUGCACAUAU
rnacentral:lncRNA from 1 species